rnacentral:lncRNA from 1 species
UUUUUUUUAAGACGAUUUAGAUUAAAAAUAGAAUAAAAAGAUUACAAACUACAAUAAAAAAAAGAAACAUAAUUAAAUAAACAAUUAAAAAAAUAAUAGGAUGUGUGGAAUAAAUAUAGUUUGUUAAUCCUCGACUUGUAAGUCAGUUAUCAAUAACGAGACUUCCUCCCACUUUCUGAUAGCUUUAUCUUCCAAACUUAACCUGUGCGUUUUUUUAAAUAGGCGGUAGUCAUAGAUGAUAGUCAAAUCUCGUAUGAAAUCCCUUGCGACGACUUUAACCGGCCGAGAGAGCCCCUCCUUAUGUCGUAGGUUCCUCUUCCUCCAAAGAUGUCAUAUAAAUAUUGCAAGUGCAUUCCAAUGUAAUCCCCAGCAUGGUGCUGACUUUCUAAAUUUGGAUAUCUCUUCCAUGAUAUCACCCACCAUUAUAUCUCCUUGAUUUAUCGCUGUGAUACCCAUAAUCUUCCAUAGAGCAUAAAUCUGUCAAACUUGUAAAUUCAUUCCAAAGAGUUCAGCUGAAAACGUAAUUGAAAAAUAGGUGGGUUGUUGUUUCUUCAGUUGCAUCACAAAUGACACACUUUGUUGGUACCAUUAUCCCUCAAUUUUUCAAUUUAUCGAAUGUUCUUAGCUUUCCCCACCUCAAUCUCCAUAAGCUGAAGACCAUCUUUGAGGUACUAUCAACUAAGUGAAUAGGAUUGCAUUAAGAUGAUUUGGAAGGUUUACCAAAUGAUCCUUAUUUAUAAUCACUCUGCCUAAUAGUGAUUAGCUAAUUAACUACUAACAAAUAAUUACCAACAGAUUGACUAAUUAAUAACUUGAUGGGAUGGCUUUCAAAAAAAAAACUUGAUGGGCUGCUAAAAACACAUGGCUGAGUGAUGUGUGGGCUUUGGUUAAUUGACCCAUCUAUAAUUAUCCUUUCUUCACCUGAAUAUUUGCAUGCAAGUCCCCCAAGUCUCUCCUAUUUAUUUGACAUGUCUUGGGACAAUUAUCUGUAUAAAUGAAAAACCAAAUUAAUUACAAUUAAGUCAUAAUCAAUUACAAUUAAUGAAAAGAGCGGCCCCAUUUAGUGUUGUUCAAUUGAAGUUCAAAUAUCGUUUUUUUAAAAUAUCAAAUUUUGAAUCGGAAAUGGGCAAUAUUCAGUUCCCACCUUUCUUCUCAUUUUCCCUCUUUUUGAGAUUUCAUGGCCGUCAUAUAACACCUCACACCUGCAAGAGCCAUGGAAGAGAGAACGAGAGUCGAGAGUCGAGAGUCGAGAGAUAGAAAGGAGGAGAGAUCGCCUUCUGUACCUGCGCAUCAAACCCUUAUCACCUCCGGUUUCUUCUCAAGUAUGUUUACUCUUUCUAUUU